AUUCAAACCUGACUCCAUUAGGUGCUGCUCACUGCCUUGGAGGCUGCUGCUCCUGUGUGUCAGAUCCACAGAGAUAUCCGAGUUCAGAAAUGAGUGGAAAAAUACCCAUGGUGGGCAGGAAGAGAAAUCCCCUUGCUAUAUUCCCAUUGUGAGCAGUGCCACCCUGUGGGAUAGAAGCACACCCAGUGCAAAGCACAUCCCUUGUUAUGAAAGAACUUCAGUACCCUGCUCCAGAUUCAUUAAUCACAUGAAGAAUUUCUCUGAAUCUCCUAAAUUUUGUAGUCUACACUUUCUGAAUUUUCCAGGAAGUCAUCAUGGACAGGCCACACAGAAAUUACAGGGAGCUAUGGUUCUUCACCUUGAAGAAUGUCACCACUCCUAGAAGCCCUUUCCUGCACUUCCUGGCUCCUCAGAUUUUGUUUAAAUAUAAGAACUGGAAAACCAAAGCUUUGUCAUCCCUAAAACACCUUCACUGAGAAACUAAGUGUCCUUCUCAUCCCAUGGGGCUGUUCUGGGUAUCAAGUAAGAUACUGAUAUGAAGUGUUUU
rnacentral:sRNA from 1 species